UGGGGAAUAUUGCACAAUGGGCGCAAGCCUGAUGCAGCCAUGCCGCGUGUAUGAAGAAGGCCUUCGGGUUGUAAAGUACUUUCAGCGGGGAGGAAGGGAGUAAAGUUAAUACCUUUGCUCAUUGACGUUACCCGCAGAAGAAGCACCGGCUAACUCCGUGCCAGCAGCCGCGGUAAUACGGAGGGUGCAAGCGUUAAUCGGAAUUACUGGGCGUAAAGCGCACGCAGGCGGUUUGUUAAGUCAGAUGUGAAAUCCCAGGGCUCAACCUGGGAACUGCAUCUGAUACUGGCAAGCUUGAGUCUCGUAGAGGGGGGUAGAAUUCCAGGUGUAGCGGUGAAAUGCGUAGAGAUCUGGAGGAAUACCGGUGGCGAAGGCGGCCCCCUGGACGAAGACUGACGCUCAGGUGCGAAAGCGUGGGGAGCAAACAGG
rnacentral:rRNA from 1 species